rnacentral:rRNA from 1 species
UUUGAAAUCUGGCCCUAGUGGUCCGAAUUGUAAUUUGUAGAGGAUGCUUUGGGCGCGGUGCCUUCCGAGUUCCUUGGAACAGGACGCCUUAGAGGGUGAGAGCCCCGUACGGUUGGACACCAAGCCUAUGUAAAGCUCCUUCGACGAGUCGAGUAGUUUGGGAAUGCUGCUCUAAAUGGGAGGUAAAUUUCUUCUAAAGCUAAAUACCGGCCAGAGACCGAUAGCGCACAAGUAGAGUGAUCGAAAGAUGAAAAGUACUUUGAAAAGAGGGUUAAAUAGCACGUGAAAUUGUUGAAAGGGAAGCAUUUAUGACCAGACCUUUGCUAGGUGGAUCAUCCGGUGUUCUUCACCGGUGCACUUCGCCUAGCUUAGGCCAGCAUCGAUUUCUGUAGGGGGAUAAAGGUCUAGGGAACGUAGCUCUCUUCGGAGAGUGUUAUAGCCCUGGGCGUAAUACCCUUACGGGGAUCGAGGUUCGCGCUUCGGCAAGGAUGCUGGCAUAAUGGUCAUCAAUGACCCGUCUUGAAACACGGACCAAGGAGUCGAACAUUUAUGCGAGUGUUUGGGUGUCAAACCCUCACGCGUAAUGAAAGUGAACGGAGGUGAGAGCCCUUACGGGUGCAUCAUCGACCGAUCCUGAUGUCUUCGGAUGGAUUUGAGUAAGAGCAUAACUGUUCGGACCCGAAAGAUGGUGAACUAUGCGUGGAUAGGGUGAAGCCAGAGGAAACUCUGGUGGAGGCUCGCAGCGGUUCUGACG